rnacentral:rRNA from 1 species
GAUGAACGCUGGCGGCGUGCCUAAUACAUGCAAGUCGAGCGAACGGACGAGAAGCUUGCUUCUCUGAUGUUAGCGGCGGACGGGUGAGUAACACGUGGAUAACCUACCUAUAAGACUGGGAUAACUUCGGGAAACCGGAGCUAAUACCGGAUAAUAUUUUGAACCGCAUGGUUCAAAAGUGAAAGACGGUCUUGCUGUCACUUAUAGAUGGAUCCGCGCUGCAUUAGCUAGUUGGUAAGGUAACGGCUUACCAAGGCAACGAUGCAUAGCCGACCUGAGAGGGGGAGCGGGCCCACUGGAAGCGAGACCCGGUCCAGACUCCUACGGGGGGCAGCAGUGGGGAAUACUCCCCAAUGGGCGAAAGCCUGACCGGGCCAACCCGCGUGAGGGAAGAAAGUUUUUGGGUCCUAAAACCCUUUUUUUAGGGAAGAAAAAAUGUUGUAUAUAACCGGGCAGUUCUGACGGUACCCAAACAAAAAGCCCCGGCUAACUUCGUG